rnacentral:rRNA from 1 species
CGGAGAUUCAGCAAUGGAUCUUAGUGGCGAACGGGUGAGUAACGCGUAGGCAAUCUGCCUUCUAGAUGGGGACAACAUCCCGAAAGGGGUGCUAAUACCGAAUGUUGUACCGUUUCCGCAUGGAGAUGAUACUAAAGGUGGCCUCUGAAUAUGCUACCGCUAGAAGAUGAGCCUGCGUCUGAUUAGCUAGUUGGAGGGGUAACGGCCCACCAAGGCUUCGAUCAGUAGCCGGUCUGAGAGGAUGAACGGCCACACUGGGACUGAGACACGGCCCAGACUCCUACGGGAGGCAGCAGUGGGGAAUCUUCCGCAAUGGACGAAAGUCUGACGGAGCAACGCCGCGUGAGUGAAGAAGGUUUUCGGAUCGUAAAGCUCUUUCGUUAGGGACGAACGUGCUCUUUGUGAAUAAUGAGGAGUAAUGACGGUACCUAAAUAAGAAGCCACGGCUAACUACGUGCCAGCAGCCGCGGUAAUACGUAGGUGGCAAGCG